rnacentral:rRNA from 1 species
AGAGUUUGAUCCUGGCUCAGAAUCAACGCUGGCGGCGUGCCUCAGACAUGCAAGUCGAACGCGAAAGUCCCCUUCGGGGGAUCAGUAGAGUGGCGCACGGGUGAGUAACACGUAGGUAAUCUACCUUCGGGUGGGGAAUAACCCAGGGAAACUUGGGCUAAUACCGCAUAAUGCAGCGGCACCACAUGGUGACAGUUGUUAAAGCGGGGGAUCGUAAGACCUCGCGUCUGGAGAGGAGCCUGCGGCGGAUUAGCUAGUUGGUAAGGUAACGGCUUACCAAGGCUAUGAUCCGUAGCCGGCCUGAGAGGGCGGUCGGCCACACUGACACUGACAUACGGGUCAGACUCCUACGGGAGGCAGCAGUCGGGAAUUUUGGGCAAUGGGCGAAAGCCUGACCCAGCAACGCCGCGUGAAGGAUGAAAUCCUUCGGGAUGUAAACUUCGCAAGAACGGGAAGAAUAAGCCGGUAUUAACACCACCGGUGAUGACGGUACUGUUUGUAAGCUCCGGCUAACUCCGUGCCAGCAGCCGCGGUAAUAC